rnacentral:rRNA from 1 species
AUGAACGCUAGCGGCAGGCCUAACACAUGCAAGUCGAGGGGCAGCGGGGAGGUAGCAAUACCUUUGCCGGCGACCGGCGCACGGGUGAGUAACACGUAUGCAAUCCACCUGUAACAGGGGGAUAACCCGGAGAAAUCCGGACUAAUACCCCAUAAUAUGGGCGCUCCGCAUGGAGAGCCCAUUAAAGAGAGCAAUUUUGGUUACAGACGAGCAUGCGCUCCAUUAGCCAGUUGGCGGGGUAACGGCCCACCAAAGCGACGAUGGAUAGGGGUUCUGAGAGGAAGGUCCCCCACAUUGGAACUGAGACACGGUCCAAACUCCUACGGGAGGCAGCAGUGAGGAAUAUUGGUCAAUGGUCGGCAGACUGAACCAGCCAAGUCGCGUGAGGGAAGACGGCCCUACGGGUUGUAAACCUCUUUUGUCGGAGAGUAAAGUACGCUACGUGUAGCGUAUUGCAAGUAUCCGAAGAAAAAGCAUCGGCUAACUCCGUGCCAGCAGCCGCGGUAAUACGGAGGAUGCAAGCGUUAUCCGGAUUUAUUGGGUUUAAAGGGUGCGUAGGCGGCACGCCAAGUCAGCGGUGAAAUUUCCGGGCUCAACCCGGACUGUGCCGUUGAAACUGGCGAGCUAGAGUGCACAAGAGGCAGGCGGAAUGCGUGGUGUAGCGGUGAAAUGCAUAGAUAUCACGCAGAACCCCGAUUGCGAAGGCAGCCUGCUAGGGUGCGACAGACGCUGAGGCACGAAAGCGUGGGUAUCGAACAGGAUUAGAUACCCUGGUAGUCCACGCAGUAAACGAUGAAUACUAACUGUUUGCGAUACAAUGUAAGCGGUACAGCGAAAGCGUUAAGUAUUCCACCUGGGGAGUACGCCGGCAACGGUGAAACUCAAAGGAAUUGACGGGGACCCGCACAAGCGGUGGAGCAUGUGGUUUAAUUCGAAGCAACGCGAAGAACCUUACCAGGUCUUGACAUCCCGAUGACCGGCCCGUAACGGGGCCUUCUCUUCGGAGCAUUGGAGACAGGUGGUGCAUGGUUGUCGUCAGCUCGUGCCGUGAGGUGUCGGCUUAAGUGCCAUAACGAGCGCAACCCCUAUGGACAGUUACUAACGGGUGAAGCCGAGGACUCUGUCUAGACUGCCGGCGCAAGCCGCGAGGAAGGUGGGGAUGACGUCAAAUCAGCACGGCCCUUACGUCCGGGGCGACACACGUGUUACAAUGGCAGGUACAGAAGGCAGCCAGUCAGCAAUGACGCGCGAAUCCCGAAAACCUGUCUCAGUUCGGAUUGGAGUCUGCAACCCGACUCCAUGAAGCUGGAUUCGCUAGUAAUCGCGCAUCAGCCAUGGCGCGGUGAAUACGUUCCCGGGCCUUGUACACACCGCCCGUCAAGCCAUGGAAGCCGGGAGUACCUGAAGCAUGCAACCGCAAGGAGCGUACGAAGGUAAUACCGGUAACUGGGGCU